GCCAAGGAGGGGCCAGCGGCGGGGGUAGGACGUAGGGGUGGAGCGUGGUCCGGAUUGAUUGGGCGUAAAGAGCUCGUAGGCGGCUGGUCGCGUCGACUGUGAAAACCCGUGGCUCAACCAUGUGGUCUGCAGUCGAUACGGGCAGGCUAGAAUUCGGUAGGGGAGACUGGAAUUCCUGGGGUAGCGGUGAAAUGCGCAGAUAUCAGGAGGAACACCGGUGGCGAAGGCGGGUCUCUGGGCCGAUAUUGACGCUGAGGAGCGAAAGCGUGGGGAGCGAACAGGAUUAGAUACCCAGUAGUC
rnacentral:rRNA from 1 species